rfam:Triticum urartu cultivar G1812 contig188525, whole genome shotgun sequence.
UUACUACUCCCUCCGUUCGGAAUUACUUGUCUCGGAUAUGGAUAUAUCUUUUAGUUCUAGAUACAUCCAUAUCCGGGACAAGUAAUUCCGAACGGAGGGAGUAUUAU